UACGAAGGGAGCUAGCGUUGUUCGGAAUUACUGGGCGUAAAGGGCGCGUAGGCGGUUUUAUAAGUCAGAUGUGAAAGCCCCGGGCUUAACCUGGGAGGUGCAUUUGAAACUGUAAGGCUUGAGAUCGAGAGAGGAAAGUGGAAUUACGAGUGUAGAGGUGAAAUUCGUAGAUAUUCGUAAGAACACCAGUGGCGAAGGCGGCUUUCUGGCUCGAACCUGACGCUAAGGCGCGAAAGCGUGGGGAGCAAACAGG
rnacentral:rRNA from 1 species